UUACGGCCAUAACAAUUUGAAACAUCGAUUUCCAUAGAAUCACUGAAGUUAAGCAACAUUGAGCCUGGUCAGUACCUAGAUGGAUAACUGCUUGGGAAUACUAGGUGCUGUAA